rnacentral:rRNA from 1 species
AUGCAUGCAAGGGCACGUAUGGUGCUCUUCUCUUCAAUGACUCGUUCCUUUUUCUUUUCUAUUCUUAAUACACCAGAUCGCAUCAAGAGAAACAUCAAGGGAGAACAGCCGAGGGAAGACCCGGAGGAAGUCCACCAUGAGAUCAAAUCCGGGCACACCAGAGCAAGGAGAAGACGCGCCCGUGGCGGCAGCGUCGACGAACAUGGCAGCCCCGCGGCCGAUCAGAUGACCAGAAACGACAGCCGCCGAGAUGGCGCAAGGCGGCCGGCAUGUCGGCUGUGGCAACCGCGCCACUCUAACCUCAAGCAGGAUCAAACGUCGAUGAUGAUGGCCAGACACAAGGAGGUGCUUGCUGCUGUAGGCAUCAUCAGCUGGCUAGCAUGCCCUUAUCUUUCUCUUGUUCCCGCAAUACGUGUUUUGUUUUGUUUCAUUGUUUUAUCAGGUUUCGCUGGAGAGAGGUACGCAUCGAGGAAGACCUAA